rnacentral:rRNA from 1 species
GAUGAACGCUGGCGGCGUGCCUAAUACAUGCAAGUCGAGCGAACAGACGAGGAGCUUGCUCCUCUGACGUUAGCGGCGGACGGGUGAGUAACACGUGGAUAACCUACCUAUAAGACUGGGAUAACUUCGGGAAACCGGAGCUAAUACCGGAUAAUAUAUUGAACCGCAUGGUUCAAUAGUGAAAGACGGUUUUGCUGUCACUUAUAGAUGGAUCCGCGCCGCAUUAGCUAGUUGGUAAGGUAACGGCUUACCAAGGCAACGAUGCGUAGCCGACCUGAGAGGGUGAUCGGCCACACUGGAACUGAGACGCGGUCCAGACUCCUACGGGAGGCAGCAGUAGGGUAUCUUCCGCAAUGGGCGAAAGCCUGACGGAGCAACGCCGCGUGAGUGAUGAAGGUCUUCGGAUCGUAAAACUCUGUUAUUAGGGAAGAACAAAUGUGUAAGUAACUAUGCACGUCUUGACGGUACCUAAUCAGAAAGCCACGGCUAACUACGUG